UGGAUUUGUGCCUUCGGGAACUGUGAGACAGGUGCUGCAUGGCUGUCGUCAGCUCGUGUUGUGAAAUGUUGGGUUAAGUCCCGCAACGAGCGCAACCCUUAUCCUUUGUUGCCAGCGGUUAGGCCGGGAACUCAAAGGAGACUGCCAGUGAUAAACUGGAGGAAGGUGGGGAUGACGUCAAGUCAUCAUGGCCCUUACGACCAGGGCUACACACGUGCUACAAUGGCGCAUACAAAGAGAAGCGACCUCGCGAGAGCAAGCGGACCUCAUAAAGUGCGUCGUAGUCCGGAUUGGAGUCUGCAACUCGACUCCAUGAAGUCGGAAUCGCUAGUAAUCGUGGAUCAGAAUGCCACGGUGAAUACGUUCCCGGGCCUUGUACACACCGCCCGUCACACCAUGGGAGUGGGUUGCAAAAGAAGUAGGUAGCUUAACCUUCGGGAGGGCGCUUACCACUUUGUGAUUCAUGACUGGGGUGAAGUCGUAACAAGGUAACCGUAGGGGAACCUGCGGUUGGAUCACCUCCUUACCUUAAAGAA
rnacentral:rRNA from 3 species